UACAGAGGUCUCAAGCGUUGUUCGGAUUCAUUGGGCGUAAAGGGUGCGUAGGCGGCGCGGUAAGUCGGGUGUGAAAUCUUGGAGCUUAACUCCGAAACUGCAUUUGAUACUGCCUUGCUUGAGGACUGGAGAGGAGACUGGAAUUCACGGUGUAGCAGUGAAAUGCGUAGAGAUCGUGAGGAAGACCAGUGGCGAAGGCGGGUCUCUGGACAGUUCCUGACACUGAGGCACGAAGGCCAGGGGAGCAAACGGG
rnacentral:rRNA from 1 species